GGCGGUAUAGCUCAGCUGGUUAGAGCAACGGAAUCAUAAUCCGUGUGUCGCUGGUUCGAAUCCGGCUGCCGCUA
rnacentral:tRNA from 1 species